AGUGAACGCUGGCGGUAGGCCUAACACAUGCAAGUCGAACGGCAGCACAGUAAGAGCUUGCUCUUACGGGUGGCGAGUGGCGGACGGGUGAGGAAUACAUCGGAAUCUACUUUUUCGUGGGGGAUAACGUAGGGAAACUUACGCUAAUACCGCAUACGACCUACGGGUGAAAGCAGGGGAUCUUCGGACCUUGCGCGAUUGAAUGAGCCGAUGUCGGAUUAGCUAGUUGGCGGGGUAAAGGCCCACCAAGGCGACGAUCCGUAGCUGGUCUGAGAGGAUGAGCAGCCACACUGGAACUGAGACACGGGCCAGACUCCUACGGGAGGCAGAAGUGGGGAAUAUUGGACAAUGGGCGCAAGCCUGAUCCAGCCAUACCGCGUGGGUGAAGAAGGCCUUCGGGUUGUAAAGCCCUUUUGUUGGGAAAGAAAAGCAGAAGGUUAAUACCCCGCUGUUCUGACGGUACCCAAAGAAUAAGCACCGGCUAACUUCG
rnacentral:rRNA from 1 species